UACACGACCGUACCGCAAACCGACACUGGUGCGCGAGAUGAGUAUUCUAAGGCGCUUGAGAGAACUCAGGAGAAGGAACUCGGCAAAUUGACACCGUAACUUCGGAAGAAGGUGUGCCUUUAGUAGGUGAACCAUUUACUUGGGGAGCCCAAUGAGGCUGCAAAAAAUCGGUGGCUGCAACUGUUUAUUAAAAACACAGCACUCUGCUAAGACGAAAGUCGACGUAUAGGGUGUGACGCCUGCCCGGUGCUGGAAGAUUAAAUGAUGGGGUGCAAGCUCUUGAUUGAAGUCCCAGUAAACGGCGGCCGUAACAAUAACGGUCCUAAGGUAGCGAAAUUCCUUGUCGGGUAAGUUCCGACCUGCACGAAUGGCGUAAUGAUGGCCACACUGUCUCCUCCUGAGACUCAGCGAAGUUGAAAUGUUUGUGAUGAUGCAAUCUCCCCGCGGAAAGACGGAAAGACCCCAUGAACCUUUACUGUAGCUUUGUAUUGGACUUUGAACAGAUCUGUGUAGGAUAGGUGGGAGGCUUUGAAGUGUGGUCGCUAGAUCGCAUGGAGCCAACGUUGAAAUACCACCCUGGUGUGUUUGAGGUUCUAACCUAGGUCCAUUAUCUGGAUCGGGGACAGUGCAUGGUAGGCAGUUUGACAGGGGCGGUCUCCUCCCAAAGUGUAACGGAGGAGUUCGAAGGUACGCUAGGUACGGUCGGACAUCGUGCUAAUAGUGCAAUGGCAUAAGCGUGCUUAACUGCGAGACUGACAAGUCGAGCAGAUGCGAAAGCAGGACAUAGUGAUCCGGUGGUUCUGUAUGGAAGGGCCAUCGCUCAACGGAUAAAAGGUACUCUGGGGAUAACAGGCUGAUACCGCCCAAGAGUUCAUAUCGACGGCGGUGUUUGGCACCUCGAUGUCGGCUCAUCUCAUCCUGGGGCUGUAGCCGGUCCCAAGGGUAUGGCUGUUCGCCAUUUAAAGAGGUACGUGAGCUGGGUUUAAAACGUCGUGAGACAGUUUGGUCCCUAUCUUCCGUGGGCGCUGCAGAUUUGAGGAAGCCUGCUCCUAGUACGAGAGGACCGGAGUGGACGAACCUCUGGUGUAUCGGUUGUCACGCCAGUGGCAUUGCCGAGUAGCUAAGUUCGGAAGAGAUAACCGCUGAAAGCAUCUAAGCGGGAAACUCGUUUCAAGAUUAGAUCUGCCGGGGCCUUGAGCCCCCUAAAGAGUCGUUCAAGACCAGGACGUUGAUAGGUCAGGUGUGGAAGCGAAAAAAAAAAG
rnacentral:rRNA from 1 species